GGUUAAGCGACUAAGCGUACACGGUGGAUGCCCUGGCAGUCAGAGGCGAUGAAGGACGUGCUAAUCUGCGAUAAGCGCCGGUAAGGUGAUAUGAACCGUUAUAACCGGCGAUUUCCGAAUGGGGAAACCCAGUGUGAUUCGUCACACUAUCAUUAACUGAAUCCAUAGGUUAAUGAGGCGAACCGGGGGAACUGAAACAUCUAAGUACCCCGAGGAAAAGAAAUCAACCGAGAUUCCCCCAGUAGCGGCGAGCGAACGGGGAGGAGCCCAGAGCCUGAAUCAGCAUGUGUGUUAGUGGAAGCGUCUGGAAAGGCGCGCGAUACAGGGUGACAGCCCCGUACACAAAAGCGCAUGUGCUGUGAGCUCGAUGAGUAGGGCGGGACACGUGGUAUCCUGUCUGAAUAUGGGGGGACCAUCCUCCAAGGCUAAAUACUCCUGACUGACCGAUAGUGAACCAGUACCGUGAGGGAAAGGCGAAAAGAACCCCGGCGAGGGGAGUGAAAAAGAACCUGAAACCGUGUACGUACAAGCAGUGGGAGCACCCUUUUGGGUGUGACUGCGUACCUUUUGUAUAAUGGGUCAGCGACUUAUAUUCUGUAGCAAGGUUAACCGCAUAGGGGAGCCGGAGGGAAACCGAGUCUUAACCGGGCGUUAAGUUGCAGGGUAUAGACCCGAAACCCGGUGAUCUAGCCAUGGGCAGGUUGAAGGUUGGGUAACACUAACUGGAGGACCGAACCGACUAAUGUUGAAAAAUUAGCGGAUGACCUGUGGCUGGGGGUGAAAGGCCAAUCAAACCGGGAGAUAGCUGGUUCUCCCCGAAAGCUAUUUAGGUAGCGCCUCGUGAAUUCAUCUCCGGGGGUAGAGCACUGUUUCGGCUAGGGGGCCAUCCCGGCUUACCAACCCGAUGCAAACUGCGAAUACCGGAGAAUGUUAUCACGGGAGACACACGGCGGGUGCUAACGUCCGUCGUGAAGAGGGAAACAACCCAGACCGCCAGCUAAGGUCCCAAAGUCAUGGUUAAGUGGGAAACGAUGUGGGAAGGCCCAGACAGCCAGGAUGUUGGCUUAGAAGCAGCCAUCAUUUAAAGAAAGCGUAAUAGCUCACUGGUCGAGUCGGCCUGCGCGGAAGAUGUAACGGGGCUAAACCAUGCACCGAAGCUGCGGCAGCGACGCUUAUGCGUUGUUGGGUAGGGGAGCGUUCUGUAAGCCUGCGAAGGUGGCCUGUGAGGGUUGCUGGAGGUAUCAGAAGUGCGAAUGCUGACAUAAGUAACGAUAAAGCGGGUGAAAAGCCCGCUCGCCGGAAGACCAAGGGUUCCUGUCCAACGUUAAUCGGGGCAGGGUGAGUCGACCCCUAAGGCGAGGCCGAAAGGCGUAGUCGAUGGGAAACGGGUUAAUAUUCCCGUACUUGGUGUUACUGCGAAGGGGGGACGGAGAAGGCUAUGUUGGCCGGGCGACGGUUGUCCCGGUUUAAGCGUGUAGGUGUGUGUUCCAGGUAAAUCCGGUUCACUUUAACACUGAGGCGUGACGACGAGGCACUACGGUGCUGAAGCAACAAAUGCCCUGCUUCCAGGAAAAGCCUCUAAGCAUCAGGUAACAUCAAAUCGUACCCCAAACCGACACAGGUGGUCAGGUAGAGAAUACCAAGGCGCUUGAGAGAACUCGGGUGAAGGAACUAGGCAAAAUGGUGCCGUAACUUCGGGAGAAGGCACGCUGACACGUAGGUGAAGUGAUUUACUCACGGAGCUGAAGUCAGUCGAAGAUACCAGCUGGCUGCAACUGUUUAUUAAAAACACAGCACUGUGCAAACACGAAAGUGGACGUAUACGGUGUGACGCCUGCCCGGUGCCGGAAGGUUAAUUGAUGGGGUCAGCGCAAGCGAAGCUCCUGAUCGAAGCCCCGGUAAACGGCGGCCGUAACUAUAACGGUCCUAAGGUAGCGAAAUUCCUUGUCGGGUAAGUUCCGACCUGCACGAAUGGCGUAAUGAUGGCCAGGCUGUCUCCACCCGAGACUCAGUGAAAUUGAACUCGCUGUGAAGAUGCAGUGUACCCGCGGCAAGACGGAAAGACCCCGUGAACCUUUACUAUAGCUUGACACUGAACAUUGAGCCUUGAUGUGUAGGAUAGGUGGGAGGCUUUGAAGCGUGGACGCCAGUCUGCGUGGAGCCGACCUUGAAAUACCACCCUUUAAUGUUUGAUGUUCUAACGUGGACCCGUGAUCCGGGUUGCGGACAGUGUCUGGUGGGUAGUUUGACUGGGGCGGUCUCCUCCUAAAGAGUAACGGAGGAGCACGAAGGUUGGCUAAUCCUGGUCGGACAUCAGGAGGUUAGUGCAAUGGCAUAAGCCAGCUUGACUGCGAGCGUGACGGCGCGAGCAGGUGCGAAAGCAGGUCAUAGUGAUCCGGUGGUUCUGAAUGGAAGGGCCAUCGCUCAACGGAUAAAAGGUACUCCGGGGAUAACAGGCUGAUACCGCCCAAGAGUUCAUAUCGACGGCGGUGUUUGGCACCUCGAUGUCGGCUCAUCACAUCCUGGGGCUGAAGUAGGUCCCAAGGGUAUGGCUGUUCGCCAUUUAAAGUGGUACGCGAGCUGGGUUUAGAACGUCGUGAGACAGUUCGGUCCCUAUCUGCCGUGGGCGCUGGAGAACUGAGGGGGGCUGCUCCUAGUACGAGAGGACCGGAGUGGACGCAUCACUGGUGUUCGGGUUGUCAUGCCAAUGGCACUGCCCGGUAGCUAAAUGCGGAAGAGAUAAGUGCUGAAAGCAUCUAAGCACGAAACUUGCCCCGAGAUGAGUUCUCCCUGAGACUUAGAGUCUCCUGAAGGAACGUUGAAGACGACGACGUUGAUAGGCCGGGUGUGUAAGCGCAGCGAUGCGUUGAGCUAACCGGUACUAAUGAACCGUGAGGCUUAACCUU
rnacentral:rRNA from 1 species